ACUCAAUGACAGAUAUAACAGAGCAUCCCGAUUUGUAAUCGGGACGGGCAAAGGUUCGAAUCCUUUCGCGC
rnacentral:tRNA from 1 species